rnacentral:rRNA from 1 species
CACGUAGGGGGGCAAGCGUUGUCCGGAUUUAUUGGGCGUAAAGAGCUCGUAGGUGGUUCGGUAAGUCAGGUGUGAAACCUCCAGGCUCAACCUGGAGACGCCACUUGAUACUGCUGUGACUGGAGUCCGGUAGGGGAGCGUGGAAUUCCUGGUGUAGCGGUGAAAUGCGCAGAUAUCAGGAAGAACACCGGUGGCGAAGGCGGCUCUCUGGGCCUUACCUGACGCUGAGGAGCGAAAGCGUGGGUAGCGAACAGG